rnacentral:rRNA from 1 species
CAGUCGCCGCGGGAAUACGUAGGGGGCGAGCGUUGUCCGAAGUUACUGGGCGUAAAGAGCGCGUAGGCUGGUCUUUAAGUGAGUGGUGAAAGGUUCGGGCUCAACCCGGACACUGCCUUUCAUACUGGGGACCUUGAGUGUGGGAGAGGCGAGUGGAAUGGUCGGUGUAGCGGUGAAAUGCGUAGAUAUCGAUCGGAACACCCAUGGCGAAGGCAGCUCGCUGGCCUAACACUGACGCUGAGGCGCGAAAGCGUGGGGAGCAAACAGGAUUAGAUACCCGCGUAGUCCCUGUCUCUUAUAC